rnacentral:rRNA from 1 species
UGGGGAAUUUUGGACAAUGGGCGCAAGCCUGAUCCAGCCAUUCCGCGUGCAGGAUGAAGGCCCUCGGGUUGUAAACUGCUUUUGUACGGAACGAAACGGCGCUUUCUAAUACAGGACGCUAAUGACGGUACCGUAAGAAUAAGCACCGGCUAACUACGUGCCAGCAGCCGCGGUAAUACGUAGGGUGCAAGCGUUAAUCGGAAUUACUGGGCGUAAAGCGUGCGCAGGCGGUGAUGUAAGACAGAUGUGAAAUCCCCGGGCUCAACCUGGGAACUGCAUUUGUGACUGCAUCGCUGGAGUGCGGCAGAGGAGACUGGAAUUCCUGGUGUAGCAGUGAAAUGCGUAGAUAUCAGGAGGAAUACCGAUGGCGAAGGCAGGUCUCUGGGCUGACACUGACGCUCAUGCACGAAAGCGUGGGGAGCAAAC